ensembl:lncRNA CYTOR cytoskeleton regulator RNA
AAGUUUCAAAUUGACAUUCCAGACAAGCGGUGCCUGAGCCCGUGCCUGUCUUCAGAUCUUCACAGCACAGUUCCUGGGAAGGUGGAGCCACCAGCCUCUCCUUGGGCAAAGAGGCAGAGGAAUGGAGCUCAGAGCUUUUAGAGAAUAUGGGCCAGAAACAGGAAGGAGUCAGGACCUGAUAACGGGAACCAGCGGACAGUGAACGCAGUGGAGGGCCACUGGGGCCGGAGCAGCCGAGAGAUUUCAGGAGAAUAACUGGGAGAUGAAACAGGAAGCUCUAUGACACACUUGAUCGAAUAUGACAGACACCGAAAAUCACGACUCAGCCCCCUCCAGCACCUCUACCUGUUGCCCGCCGAUCACAGCCGGAAUGCAGCUGAAAGAUUCCCUGGGGCCUGGUUCCAACCGCCCACUGUGGACUCUGAGGCCUCUGCAUUUGCGGGUGGUCUGCCUGUGA